GUGGGGAAUAUUGGACAAUGGGCGAAAGCCUGAUCCAGCAAUGCCGCGUGAGUGAUGAAGGCCCUAGGGUUGUAAAGCUCUUUUACCCGGGAUGAUAAUGACAGUACCGGGAGAAUAAGCUCCGGCUAACUCCGUGCCAGCAGCCGCGGUAAUACGGAGGGAGCUAGCGUUGUUCGGAAUUACUGGGCGUAAAGCGCGCGUAGGCGGUUUUCCAAGUCAGGGGUGAAAGCCCGGGGCUCAACCCCGGAAUAGCCCUUGAAACUGGAAGACUAGAAUCUUGGAGAGGUCAGUGGAAUUCCGAGUGUAGAGGUGAAAUUCGUAGAUAUUCGGAAGAACACCAGUGGCGAAGGCGACUGACUGGACAAGUAUUGACGCUGAGGUGCGAAAGCGUGGGGAGCAAACAGGAUUAGAAACCCCUGUAGUCC
rnacentral:rRNA from 1 species